UCGUUAUAUGUGUAAAUGUAAUUUUACAUCAAUUACCCAUCUGCUUUUGGAGGAAGAACAACCAAACAUACCAAUCAGAUGUUCGCAAAGACCAUUUGAUACCACUUCGUCUGUGAUGAAGGUCUGGGGAGGAGUUUUGUGGUGAUUAAAAAAGAAGACAACUCGGAGAAGACAAMASGCAGGAUUAAUGCAUGACAUUUAUUUCCAAGAAUGAAUCCACCGUUUUCUUCAAUUGAUUUACAACAAAGGGGAUUCUGGGGGAACACGUCACCAACAAAACUAAGAAGACUCUCAAAUGACAUCACAGGCAGGCAAAAAGAGACGAUCCAGAUCAAAGUUCUUGAUCCCAUGACGCUUGUCUCCAAAGGAAAGGCGGAGUAUACUCAUUACAGGAU